rnacentral:rRNA from 1 species
GAUGAACGCUGGCGGCGUGCCUAAUACAUGCAAGUCGAGCGAACAGACGAGGAGCUUGCUCCUCUGACGUUAGCGGCGGACGGGUGAGUAACACGUGGAUAACCUACCUAUAAGACUGGGAUAACUUCGGGAAACCGGAGCUAAUACCGGAUAAUAUAUUGAACCGCAUGGUUCAAUAGUGAAAGACGGUUUUGCUGUCACUUAUAGAUGGAUCCGCGCCGCAUUAGCUAGUUGGUAAGGUAACGGCUUACCAAGGCAACGAUGCGUAGCCGACCUGAGAGGGUGAUCGGCCACACUGGAACUGAGACACGGUCCAGACUCCUACGGGAGGCAGCAGUAGGGAAUCUUCCGCAAUGGGCGAAAGCCUGACGGAGCAACGCCGCGUGAGUGAUGAAGGUCUGCGGAUCGUAAAACUCUGUUAUUAGGGAAGAACAAAUGUGUAAGUACUAUGCACGCCUUGACGGUACCUAAUCAGAAAGCCACGGCUAACUACGUG